ensembl:lncRNA
GGUUGAAGCUAAGUUAAUCAAUUAGCCUUUUAGCCCGUUAAGAUUAGCGAGCUGAUUGAGAACAGCAAAUAUCGGUUCGUUAACGGCUGAUCCGCAUCCAAAUCAUGUGGUUAAUUUCAACCAGGCUAAAGUUAUCAUGGCAUUUGCGCGUGCACGUCCUACUUCAAAAGGCAGGAAAGGUCGAUCACCAAAACCAUGAUUUUCUAACGGUAUAAUGGUUCUAAACUCAAAGAAAAGGGCUAUUUUUUCUCCGCUGGCGAGUAGGAGAUGAACAUGAACGCUUAUGAUGAAUACAAGACCAUAAUCAUGGCCAAAUUCAACACCACCACCGCUGUGAGAGCAAGGUGUGUUGGGAUGUUUAUAGGGUGAUAUGUGUGUAUGAAUAACUGUUGUUCUUCGCAUCACCGACACUACAAAAAUGUAUCACUCGCAAAAAAGCGCAAGACAGUCAAUGUUCGACUGUGGUGUUUGCAAUAAAUCACUCGAGAAGGUCUUGUAAAUUAAUGAUUCCUUGUCGGCUGAAUCGGUAGCGCUCAUACAAGAAUAAUUGAUCUUGGCGAUUGCAAAGAACUCUCUCCCUCCGCUAAUCUUAUUAACUAUCUAAUAUCAGUCCUUGGUCAAUGGGAUCCCUCCUUUUUCUGGGGGUGUGGCAAGCUUAUCCAGCUACACUUAAGUUAGCCUGCCCUGGAGCAGGUUAGUGCUAAUCGAUAUGUAACUAUGGUGAUUUAUCAAAAGUUGCUUCCACAAACCAAAAAGAGGGGCGUUUUUUAUCUUAGCCUGAAAAUUAGCUCGCUAAACUGCUUAGCGAGCUACGACGAAUACCCCCCUGGCGGGAUCAAGAAAGCACAAGGACUAGACAAGGGAACAAACAUGUGACAACACAAGGGAGACAAACUCAGAAACCGAACAAGGACAGAACACAGACCUUACUCAAUCUGGGGAAACCGAACAAGGACAGAACACAGACCUUACUCAAUCUGGGGGGGAAUCUAUCAACACUAGAAUCGACACAUCCGUUAAAGUCACCUCAAAGAUAACAUAAGAGUCACUAUAUUUGUCAAGAAGUAAUUUGGCAUUAUUCGAUAUCUGGACAAAUAAAGUUUUGUUGGACAAAUGUGAAUUAUAUCCAUAAACAUUACAUACAAUAAAAAUGCCAUUGUCUUGCUUUAUGACAAUCAUCACCCAUCUUCCUUCAGAGGAUUUCACUGUUUCUAACACUUCACCUUUGAAUUUGUGUAAAAGUAUAGCAACCCCUGCUGAGUUAUUACUUCCAUGACUAUAAUGUAUAGUAUUUCCCCAUUGUGAUCUCCAAAAUUUGACAUCCAAUUCAGAUCAGUGAGCUUCUUGGAGCAUUACAAUGUCUGCCUCACUUCUAAGGUCUGUGACUGCUCCUAUAACAAAAUGUUCAUGCAUAUUUAGCUAUGUCAUUUCAGUUAUAUAAUUUUACGCCGACGUGUAUUGAAGUAGCCUAAUCUUUCGAUGUAUUUGAAACAGCUUACCUUAUAGUCAUAUUAAUAUCUACAUUAAGGUGAAAUGUAUAGCACAAUAGCUCCAUCUAGUGGGGAGCCCAGCAACGUCACCUAAAGUAGACUGCCGUAAAAAACAUGGAAGCAAUACUUUGCAAUGGACAGUAGAUCGUUUUGGUUCUGUAGACCCUCAGUGUAAUAAACAGGUCGCUCUCUUUAGACUAACUGAGGGUUACCAGUUAACUUGUACAGACCAGAAAAAUAUGUAGAGAAUGAGUGACUUUAAAAAGAAAAGUUGACUCUUUCAGAGUAUUUUGGGAGUGCUAAAAAAACUACACACAAUGCUUACUGUGUGAAACCGAGAGUUGCUUCACCAUAUUAACUGGUAAACUGGGUGUAUCUGUGAAACUACAAAAACAAAUGCCCCCUUUCCUUCAAGACUGACUUUUUUAAUUUACAGUUUAAUUAGUUCAUUUAUCAGUUUGGCUUAUUUACAAACAACACAUGCAAACACAUUUGAACAACCUCUAGCAUAUUGGCUCAAAGUACCAACAUUAGAAAUGACUAUCCAACAAAUCACAACAAUAGUCAUAUUUAUCUAUUCUAUAACUGAAAUGACAGCUGUGGGAUAAGCCCACAAACAAAGCAAUCUGGGGAAAUUUUAGGUUUCAGUCAGGAAGUUGUGACAGCAAGAGUUCCUUCCUCAUUUUAACUGAAACAGGACAAACGCGGUUAUUUAUGGGUUGUGAACAGGCCGAUCGUGUAAUCUUGGUCUUUAUGCAGGAUGUCUAGUAGUCCUCUCAUGUCCCUGACUGAGAACUCACACAAGAAACUGUCAGGCAGUUUGAGACUAUGGACCUGAGGUUUCAUAUAUGGAGUUCAUCCUCGUGAUGGCCUCAUCUGCAGAUGGGUCUGAAGUGAGUUCUCCAUCCCCACUGAACACAGGGUCAGUCUUCUGAUUGGUCAGCUGUAUGAAUGAGUACGCUGGUUCCUGCUCUCCCUGGCUCACCGCAUAAGGGGAACCUUCAGGAAUAAUUAAAAAUAUAAUAACUUGCUUCAGUGCUAACUGAUUUUCACUGUUAAAGCCAAAUAAAUUCAUUUUCAAGGAGAAUAAAAAAACACUCAAAGUGUUAAAAACAACGCUUCUGGAAACUCACAGUCGUCAUCAUCCACUCCCUCCCCGUUCUGAUAUCUAGAGGAGACAGCAGUGAGGAAGGAUAGCAUGGGGAGCAACCAUGAGGAUAUCUACUUUUAAGGGCCGUCCACACUGCCAAUGACAACUAGAACAAUAACUGUAAAUACUAUGGUUUUAAUUAUCACUCGAGCUUAUUACAAUGGCAACUUCUAUACCACACAAACGAUAACGGAAUGAAGAACAGUUUCUUUGGGCAUCACUUAAAGAGCGAAUGUGCAAAUGAUAAAAAACUAACAGCCAAUCAAAAUCGAUCAAAUUUGAAUGGCGUCACAUUCAAAUAUGAAAUUUUAUUUCUGAGAUGUUUUCCCUAUGGUUGGUCAGUGUGGACGGUCAUAUCAUUAUACUUACAGUUGUCAUUACAGUUAUUGUUGGAUUAACAGCCCUUUUGUCAUUAUUUUACAGAGACCCACCUCAAUUAAAAUGUAUAAACAACAACAACCACAAAAAUCUAAAAUGUUACCUUUGAGUUAUUGUAGUCUGAGACACUGUAAAGACAAAACAAAACAACAACUGAAUUGUAUGUUUAUGAUAAAAGAUCUCAUUAAAAAUACUACAUGUACAUGUUUCACCUUUGGUCUCAGCUGAUUUCCUUUUAAGCAGUAUGAUGAUGAUGAUGAUGAUGACAGGGAGGAGGAGAAGAACGGGUACUAAUGCACCAAUCACAUAGAUGAGAUGGGAAUCUGCAGGUUUUGGAAAAUAUGAUUUUGAUUCAGCUUUACCAGAGUCCUUUCACAGAGGGAAAUGCAUGCUUUCCCACAUCAAGCUUUGCUUUCCAGUAAUAUUAUAUGUGGGGGUUCCUAAAAAAAAGAUAAUUUUCUAGAGACAUAUUGUAUCUUGCAUUGCAUUGCAUUUACUUGGGCUCACUACUAUUCAUUUCAUUUGGAAUGUCAAACUGAACUUACCAGCAGUGAUAUUUCGGGUGGUAUUUGAUUUGUCUUCAACACACUAACAUUAUCGUGAAAUUUAGUUUAUUGUCAAGAAUUUACCAUUAAUUAUUUAGUCAAGCACGUUAGGAUAAGCAUGGAUCACAUAACACAUGAAUGUCUGGCUUAGGAAACCAGUUCCCAUGUGUAAAUAAUGUUAAGGUUUUUAAAAUGUGCAUCCAACUAAAUGUUCAGGUUCAAGCUCAACUGUUGAAGCACAAUGUGACAAAAUAAACUGAGAGGAAAUAAAAUUUCAAGUAAGGUUCAUAGACUUACCAGGAUUACCCACAAUGACUGUGGUGUUGGUUAUUACUGCCCAAGCAUGCUGGUUAUAACUAUAUGUGUUCACCUGUAAGACACACAGAUACUGUCCACGGUCUGACUGAGUGGCUUUGCUGAUCUUCAGGUUAUGGAUGUUGUUAUCAUCAAGGGAGGGUUUUGAUGUGUGUGAUCUCCUUAACAGAAGAUCUUUGUCAAUGGCACAGUGGGCAUCAAAACCAAAAUCAUCAGUAGCGUAAUCAAAGGAAUACACACAUGUGCUGCUGUGAGCACCAGUCUUGAUCCAGUACACCACAAAAGGAUUAUUGGGAUAAUACCCCUUUGUUUUUAAAUCACACGUCAGAUUAAUUGAUUCUCCUCCAGACACAAGCACUGAGUUUUCCAUUACAGGUCCAGACACAACUGUGAACAAAGGGAAAUGUUGAAAUGAAAUAUUCAAAAUGACAUGUAGUUCAGCUUGAUGUUGAUAUAAAGGGUAGGCUACAUAUACACUUACUGUCUGGUUCUGCCUGAGCAACAAUGAAGGACUCCACAUGAUGAGAAGAGGGUUUAAAUGGAUGCAUGAAGCAGGAGUCAGAUUCAGCAUUGACACAGGCAAAGAAUCCCCUCAUUACACAGAUUUCACAACUGGUGGAUUUGUUUUUCUUUAUCUCUUGGCAUAGAUCCUGUCUUUGAGCUUUGCAUUUUGAGUUUGUUGUAUAAAUACUGUCUAUGACACCGCAGUCCACUAUGUUGUCUGAAUUUACAUCGGCCUCCCAUUGACAUGUUUCACAGGACAGUGUUACCUCCUCCCCUUUCUUUAGGUAAUGAAAGUGAGUGGACCCUUCAAGAAAAAAGAACACAGUUAUUGAUUCAUGGUUACAUUUGUACUGCAACCCUAUACUGUUAGCACAUCAUUUAAAACUACUAUUAUUCCGUACUGUCAUUGAGCAAGGAACUUUUAUAUCCACAUUUAGAAUAAAUUGAACAUCAUUAGUAAAAGAAAAAUCUCCUACCGUAGCAUUGUAUCAGGAAGCAGCAUAGAAGAAUCAAACAUAGUGCCUCCAUCUCAG